ACAGAAUAAAAGCAGAUUUUGUUAAAUAAUAAUGUUUGAGAAUCACCAUCCUUCAAAACUAUCUUAUCACCACUUGGAUUAUUUGAUUUCAGCGAUUAAUUUUAAGUUGAUCCAAGGGUUUAUAGUCUCUCCUCAUUUUUUCUCAAAAAAUUAUAUAAUACAACAAAAUAAUCAAGUUUUUAUGUGCUAUGCCCAUCUCCAUUUGGAAGCAUCACUAUAACUACCUAGACAAAUAUGCAGAUUACAUAUGGAAUUUGGAAAUAUGCAGAUUACUGCAGCAGCAAGCAAUAAACAACCCUUAACCAUUAGUUAGUUUAAGCUCUCCCUACUUUCUCCACAUCUCCCUCAUCCAUUGAAGCUUGUAAUAACUUUCUUUAACAUAAGUUGAAAUGCAUUUCCUCCCCAACAACCGCAAAUAUCUCAUUCACCCUGUCAAUAAUAGUGGGA
rnacentral:lncRNA from 1 species